CUUAGUAAGCAUAUUUAAAAGAACAUCAAUAUUUUAACUUCGGAGUUCGGAUAUCAUCUUUCUAUGCCUUACCUCCCUUGCCCCAUUCAUUUUAAGCAAACGUAAACUAAUUCAGAAAUUCUUUCCUUUCUGUUCUUAUAUGAAGUAAACAGUUCUCUCAUCUUUUAAGUUUUACUUUUACGUGCAAUACAUAGUUGGAGAUGAUUAGUCUGGAAGAGGGUAGCAGAGCGGAGCAUACAUGCUGUGUAACCUAUACCAGACAAAUCUAGAUUGCCUUUAGAAGAAAAGUUCAAAAGAUUCUACACUCUCUUAGCUUCUUCAAUCAACGUCUCCAAGAGCAAAGAAUUAUUUCUUAAUCACGUGGCUGGUUUUGUCAGGUAAGAGAAUAGAAUUAAUAAUUGUUAUGUAUUUCCUGAAGGAAAGAAAAGAAAGAAUAGCCGUUGGUGCUAAAAUGACACAUUAUGAAGAUUUUAAAAUUCUUGAAGGAUGUUGGAAUUGUUUGAUGCGUGCUUCACCAUCCGUGUUUAUUGCAAAGAUUUCAGGAAAUGCUCACCUGCAACCGUUGGAUUCGUACCCUCUGAGUUCUUAGAGGCAGCCAUGCGCUCCUUGCUUAACCGGAGGUCGUCUAACAGCUUCUGUGCAAAAUCUGAUCUCUUGGCCAUGUUGGUACUCUCAAUUCGAGCAAGGUAUCCUUCAACUCUCUUUGAGCCAGAAUAAAGAUAGAAUUUCUUUACAUUGUGUUUUGCCCAUUACAUUUUACAGGUAAGAGGUAGGAACAGGAAUGUUUUUGUUUCUUUUUCUAGUUGGGAGGGUUCUUUCCAAGUUGGUUGAGUUGGGAAGUCCAGUCUCAUAGCAAUAAAAUGGAGUCUGAAAAUUUAUCCUAGAUAGGUUGACGUGAAUGUUAGCUCUCUUUCUUUCUCUAGAAGGUCUCUGUAACAUCACGAGUAUCCCUGCUUUGAUUCUAAUCCAAGCAAUGGCAGAAAGUUUCACUCAGGGGGCUUCCAUGCCCAGCCUUCUUUACCAGCAUCUCUCCUUUCCAUUUUUCACUCUCCCCCCUUAUUCCCUUAAGUCACCCGAUAACUUUGCAUCAAACUGAAGGUCCAUAAGUAGCAUUGCCAAUAGGCACAUGUCAUUAUGGGAGGGCAUACCCCAGCGUUCAGACAAUGAUCUGGCGGAGUGACUUAAAAUUUUAAAGGAAAAGCAAGGUUCUAUCUUUCUUUUCCUCCACCAUCUUUGGUGUUUCUUUGGUCUCCGAACGUACAAAGUUGUGAACUCUACAUUGAAGUAGUCGAUUUGAUUAAUAUUUUAUAGUUUAAAGUAAGAGGAUAAAAUUAAAGAUAGAUAAGGAUGGCAGGCUUUUGAAAGGCGAAUCUGAGAAGGGAGAAUUAGUGGGAAGCCAUGGGAGCAGUCUUUUAGAAGCUUUUAACUGACCCCACCAUUACCAAAGAAGCAAAAAUUGGGUGGACAAAGGGGUGUCUAGUAAUUAAUAUUAGUGAUGAAAUAAAACGGGAUUGGAAAUUUUGGUAAACAAAACUCCAUUUUUAGUUAAAUAUAGGUCGUUUCAAGACUGCAAAAACGAGUAUGCGAGUGGGGUUUUUAAACAAACACAUGAUGUGCCGUGGAACUACUGCUGGCAACUGGAAAAGUAUGUGCCAACAUUUGAUUUUAGUAAAGAAAAAGUAGGAUUGCAGAAGGGAUUCUGUGUUAUUUUGUUCUAGAAUUCCUAACGCUUCAGGGUCUGAAUUAGGAUGUUAUCAUUUGUUCGAUUCCAUUUUAAAUUCUGUUUCCAAAUGAAGCCUCAUGAUGGGGUGGGUUAGAUAAACGAUCCUUAUAUUAUAAUAUGGUUCAGCCCAAUUUAGUCUUGGCCCUGUGCCUGGCAGGCCCAACACUCUCUUUUCCCAACCCAAAUAGUGAGCCCAAACAUGUCAAUAUCUUUGAUGGAGAGCACGUGGCGUUGGUGAAAGUUCUCUGUCAAGGCCCUGCUUCCCAAAAUCCCUUCGAAAAAGAAUCGCACAAAUCCAACCGUUGAUCUCAUCAACCACAAAACAACUGUAGCCGUUGGAUAGUCUAAUUCAGCUCCUAAAAUAUCUGGCAUCUCUAUAAUUUUAAACUCGUGGCGCGCCACAUUCUCCAGAUCUGCUUUUCUAGCCGUCGCUUCUUUUAACUCUGUCGAAAUCUUCAGAUCGUUUGAUGAACUUCGUUUUCUUUUUAAUCAUGGGUUUCCCCGUUUGGCUGAAAUCCGUGGUUCCUUUACCCCUUUUGCUUCGUCAAUUUUUCGCAUACUCGAUUAUAAGAAUCGAUUUCUUCCCUCAGAGAUCUACUGAGAGAUUUGCUGAGUUCAAGUCAAUUCCUCGUUGAAAAGUUAAUUAGUCAUGGUAUUGAACUCGGAAAUCUGUCUUUGGAUCUCUACCCGAGGUUUGAAAACAUCGUUCAGAUCGGUUUUAAGAUUUGGGAAUUGGCGGACUGAUAUAUGGAUCAAAUUUUAUAAACUGUCACAUGUUCCGAUCCUUUUGAUGCUGCUUGGUUGUUUAACGACGGUUGUGGCGGUAAAUGCGUUGGUAUUUUGGAGCAAGAAUAAAAUGCAAAAGGGUUUGAAGGAUAUUUUUCGAGCUUUUGAUUUGUUUGGUGAUUUAACUUUGUUCUAUUAUAUGAUCUCCUUAUUGUAGACUGAUUAUGCUAUAUCGAUCUCCUUAUUGUAGACUGCUGAGCUAGUCAUUUUUAGAAGUUGAAAGAAUCGAGGGUCAGAAAAAAUUGUUGCUGAGAAGACAUGAGAUGAAAAAAUUGUGAGGGAAUUGUUUUUGCUGUUAUUAGACCUUUGCCAUUACAGGUGCGCUUGAAUGGCAGGUCAAAAACCCUAAUAAAAUUUUAAUUCUCUUGUUUUUUUAGGGGGGAGAUGGCACGGGAGAUAUGUUUUGUUUUAUUUAUUUCCCCUGGCUCUCCCCCCUGGGUGUCCUGGCUCCUUUGCCCUUCUCUUAUUUUCCUCCUGCAUCUCCAACGGCCUAUUUGUCAGUUGUUGCUUCAUGCAAAUCAUGCAAUACUUCUCCCAGUCAAAGCAUGUAAGAUAUCAAAGCAAUCCCAUUGAUUGACUGAAUCAGAGUAUAAUUCUAGAGUGCAUAUGGUCUUCUGUGAUUGCGAUUGCAGCUGAUAAGGUAUAUUCGUUCAUCAAUUUCAACCUAAAACGUUCAAUUCUUCACUUAUUUGUUAUUCAACUUUGUUAUGCCAAUAUUAUGCCUAACUUCCUUUGCCUGGUCUUGUUUUUGUUAUAACAUUUAUUUAAUGCCAUUUUAUAUCUCCAUGUAACAAUUGAGUUUAAUCUAUUUUAUUUUGAGCACACUUAGUAUCUCACUGUCACUGUAAAGAGCUUGUAAUACAUUUCACAUGCUCUUAUUUAUAUGACUAGCAAUCAAAAGUUCAAUAACAGGCCCUGGAAUUAUGAAUUGAAAAUUGAAAGUUUGAAAACAAUAUUGAUGUUACUGGGCCUCUGGCUCCUGCCUUUUUAUUUGAUGUGAGCUUAACUGAAUGGUUUUGAUUAUAACCCAUGGAUCUUAUUCCUAUACUAUGUAGAGUUUACUGUAAUUUGUUUCAAGGGAAGUGGCAAUUGGUGUCUAGUAAUUUGUCUGGAGGGCUGGGUUGUCUUAUAUUGUAGCAUUUGGUAAUAGUAUGUACUAAGUCGUCAAAUCAGUCAGCUGCUUCAUGGAUCCAAGUUAUGGUAUCCUUUACAUUUGAGGCUGAUGUCAAGAUAUUACCAAUAGCGACUGUGUUUUGAUGGUGAAGCAGCUGCAGCUUAGACGUGUUUUUGGAAUCUUUCUAUUCCCCCGUGGAAGGACUAUGUGCUGGACUCUUUCGGAAUUCACUCCCUUUGAAAGCUUUAAUCAGUCAUUUAGCACCUUAUGUUGAUACUUUGCAUUAUGGUGCCGUCUUUCUGUUAUUGAGUCUGCAACUCUACAUGCAUAUAAAAGCUUUAAGCCAUUAGACCUGAAUGAGAAUUUGAAAAAAGGUUCUUCCAGUAUUUAUUUUACUUUAGAACCUGACAGACCUGAUUAUAAAAGUCUGUUUCUGUUUGUGUUUCGGUUAAAAUGCUACAUUUGGUAAGGACUUUGCAUAACAUUGCAGACAAAUUAACAGAAUUCCUGCAUAAGGAAGCACUUCUGGCCUUGUGCUACUCAAAUAAUAUAAGCGAAGUUCAAUCUAGACACCACUGUGAUCAGCUAUGACAAUUGACAACUUUGUGAUGAUCUACAAACCUUCUGACCAUUAUUUGAUGCUGUGAUUAUGUUUCUUUUAAUUGAGAGGUGUAGCCGAUUUUAAAAAGCUUCUGAAGCAUGAGUGUUGUUCUUUAAGUUAUCAGUUUAAUAAUUCUUUGGUUUGCGUCCUCGCUCCUGCCACUUUUUUUUGCCUCCGUUUGCAACUUUCAAUUCCCUGCAUAAUUUAUUCUUUCUUUCUUUAUGGUUUAGAUUGGGUGUUUUCUGGUAUCUUUAUUAUAGUAGCUUUUAAAUUGGACCCAUGGCCAGAUAAAACCCGUUUAUGGAGUUUUAAGAAGAAUCUUUGCUUGAGAAAAAAAAACUUUGGUGUAAGCCGGUGGGGAGGGAUGAUUGGGCCUUGUGUAACUUUCACUAGAAACUUAUGGGCAACGCUAUUUGGGUUUUAGUACAUUGUUACUGAAAUAUUUUUUCAACUUUCAAGUAGAAAACAAUAGUGGACGAACGUUAUACUCUUUUUAUUUUAUUUUUUAGUAAGGUUAUAAGAUCUGGCUUUGGAAAUGCUUUCUGGUUCUGAUCCUAAUUUAAUUUUACUUCUGCAAUUGCAACUUGAUGUGGAUUCAUAAGCUCAAAACUGGUAGAGCGCUCAGACAUUGAGGUUUGGGAGGGUGGUGGUUCGAUUCCACCUGGAUUCUCUAUAGUUCUCAAAAUAAAUAAAAUUGUUAAGUUUAUGGGUGAGCAUAAUUCGGGGGCUGUUUUAAAGCUAGGAUCGUGGAUCAUUUAUAUUAUGAUUGGUUUUGAAAACAUUGGAUCGUGAAUAGAUCCAUCACCUUUUAGGACUGUGGAUUACUCGUGUAGGGUGAAAUUAUACUACACAAACUAGUGGAAAUGUAAGAGGGGAAAUAGUGAAAUGAAAUGGAUUCGAAGGAUUCAAUUGUUUGAGAGGCCAGAUAAGAAAUCUGCUUUUUUCCCCAAAAUAUUAUUGGCCAAGAGCCUAAGACAUUGUUAAAACAACUAGAGGAAUCGUGUGCUCUUGCCGGGUUUUUUAGCUCAUUGCUGCAUGUUCGGUCUUGAUGAUCGUAAUAGCUAAGAAUACAAAUCGAACGCACCUCAAACAAAUGCAAUAUUUUGUGUUAAACUUAUAGGCUAAACAAAUGCCUAUCUUCUAGUUCAACAUCGAGUCAUUAUAAAAAAUAACCCUCCACCUGGCUUGGCCUUGGAGCCCGGGGGGUUUCCAUGGUAUUUUUGCGUUGGUUUUUGGGUUAGAUUCACCUUUUUGGUAUGGUACAUAAUGUAAAAUAUUGUAUGUCAUUUCAAUCAAAAUCGAAAGUGGAGCAGCUAAUUGACUCCGUAAUGUAACGGGCCGCAUUCAAUCUGCAAUGGAUUUGUGGGCACUAAUUUUAGGCUUUGGUGCACCACAAAAAGUGGCCGAAAAGAAAUGUCAUAGCCAAGCCACCUUGUACAACCGUCUCUAUUACGGAAUU